rnacentral:rRNA from 1 species
UACGUAGGUGACCAGCGUUGUCCGGAUUUACUGGGCGUAAAGAGCGCGCAGGCGGUCGUUCAAGUCGAGUGUGAAAGCCCCCCGGCUCAACUGGGGAGGGUCACUCGAUACUGAUCGACUUGAAGGCAGGAGAGGGAAGCGGAAUUCCCGGUGUAGUGGUGAAAUGCGUAGAUAUCGGGAGGAACACCAGUGGCGAAGGCGGCGCUCUGGGCCGGAACUGACGCUGAGGAGCGAAAGCGUGGGUAGCAAACAGG